rnacentral:rRNA from 1 species
GGCUUAUAAUUGAAGUCUAGUAUGAAUGGGAACACGGGAAUAUUCUGUCUUUAAUAUAUAAAAGAAAUUACUAAUUAAGUGAAAAUUCUUAAAAGUAAGAAAAUAGACGAGAAGACCCUAGAAAUUUUUUUAAUUUGAUUUUGUUGGGGCGACAGGGUAACAAAAAACUUACCUAAAGUAAUAGGAAAUUUUUUAGUGGUGUAAUUAAAUUACUCUAGGGAUAACAGCAUAAUAUUUUAAAGGUUGUGACCUCGAUGUUGGACUAGGA